AUACAGAGGGUGCAAGCGUUAAUCGGAAUUACUGGGCGUAAAGCGCGCGUAGGCGGUUUGUUAAGUUGGAUGUGAAAGCCCCGGGCUUAACCUGGGAGGGUCAUUCAAAACUGGCAGACUAGAGUGUGGUAGAGGGUAGUGGAAUUCCUAGUGUAGCGGUGAAAUGCGUAGAGAUUAGGAGGAACACCAGUGGCGAAGGCGACUGCCUGGACCAACACUGACGCUGAGGUGCGAAAGCGUGGGUAGCGCACAGGAUUAGAUACCCCAGUAGUCC
rnacentral:rRNA from 1 species